ACUGUCUAUUCUUGUUAGAAUGUAAACUCCACAAGGAGCAGGAGCUUAGUUUUGGUCUGUUUUGUUCACUACUGUACCCCCACACUUAGAAAGUGCCUGGCAUAUAGAAUGUACUGCUCAAGCAAUAUCUGCUGAAUUAACAUAGAAAAUUCUAGAACUGGAAAGGACUUUAGGCAUUCUAUCUAAAGUUCCAAAUGACUUUGACCAUCAGUGAACAAAUGGGGAAGAGUUCAGAGAAAAAUGACUAGUUGCCACUAUGGGGCUGAGAGAGGACCUAGGUCUUCUGACUCUAGUCAAGACCUCUUUCACACAGCUGUGAAGGUGACUCCAGCAUUGCUACAAGGGGAGAAUCCCACCUAUUUCAGAACGGAGUUUCGUUCCAGAAGAUCCAAUUAGAAUCCAUGUCCUGCUCAGCCCUUUCCUCUCCUCCAUCCUUAACAUUAAAUCAGUCACCAAAUUCA